rnacentral:lncRNA from 1 species
UUGGGGUAUGCGCAAAAACUUGAAUUACAGGUUUAUGAUCUUUUGGGUUUGGAAAGAGAGAAUAAAUUAAAAAAAAAUUAUUUUCUUCUCAAUCUUUCUUUUACCUCUUCAUCUCCUCUAGAAGUUUAUCUUCAAUCUCUAGAAAGAUUUUAGAGAUUUAAAGGAAAGAUCCAGAUCAACCAAGAAGAAGGUCUUCGCGCAAGCUAGCACUCUUGAGAAGA